CCAUAAAAUAGUCAUUGUAGUAUGUUGAUAGGGAGACCCUAGAUGUGUUGAGUAAAUUUGGAAGCGUUACAUUCAAAACAGUGAAGCAGUUGAAAUUUAUCUUUGUAUCCAUUUUCGGUUUUGCACUUUGUAGACGGUCCCCGGACGCUCGACUGCAAG